rnacentral:rRNA from 1 species
UCGAACGCGUCUCCGUUGAUGAUUUUAGGUGCUUGCACUUGAAAGAUUUCCAUUGAGACGAGUGGCGAACUGGUGAGUAACACGUGGGUAACCCGCCCUUGAAGUAGGGGAUAACACUUGGAAACAGGUGCUAAUACCGUAUAACAACCAAAACCACCUGGUUUUGGUUUAAAAGACGGCUUCGGCUGUCACUUUAGGAUGGACCCGCGGCGCAUUAGCUUGUUGGUAAGGUAACGGCUUACCAAGGCGAUGAUACGUAGCCGACCUGAGAGGGUAAUCGGCCACAUUGGGACUGAGACACGGCCCAAACUCCUACGGGAGGCAGCAGUAGGGAAUCUUCCACAAUGGGCGAAAGUCUGAUGGAGCAACGCCGCGUGAGUGAUGAAGGGUUUCGGCUCGUAAAACUCUGUUGUUGGAGAAGAACAGGUGUCAGAGUAACUGUUGACAUCUUGACGGUAUCCAACCAGAAAGCCACGGCUAACUACGUGCCAGCAGCCGCGGUAAUACGUAGGUGGCAAGCGUUGUCCGGAUUUAUUGGGCGUAAAGCGAGCGCAGGCGGUUUUUUAGGUCUGAUGUGAAAGCCUUCGGCUUAACCGGAGAAGUGCAUCGGAAACCGGGAGACUUGAGUGCAGAAGAGGACAGUGGAACUCCAUGUGUAGCGGUGAAAUGCGUAGAUAUAUGGAAGAACACCAGUGGCGAAGGCGGCUGUCUGGUCUGUAACUGACGCUGAGGCUCGAAAGCAUGGGUAGCGAACAGGAUUAGAUACCCUGGUAGUCCAUGCCGUAAACGAUGAGUGCUAAGUGUUGGAGGGUUUCCGCCCUUCAGUGCUGCAGCUAACGCAUUAAGCACUCCGCCUGGGGAGUACGACCGCAAGGUUGAAACUCAA